GUUGUAUGGUUAAGUGACUAAGCGUACAUGGUGGAUGCCUUGGCAGUCAGAGGCGAUGAAGGACGUACUAACCUGCGAUAAGCCGUGAGCAGUCGGUAAGAGACAUUACGACUCACGGAUUUCCGAAUGGGGAAACCCACCUAGCAUAAGCUCGGUAUCGCUACGUGAAUACAUAGCGUAGCGAGGCGAACCGGGAGAACUGAAACAUCUAAGUACCCCGAGGAAAAGAAAUCAACCGAGAUUCCCUCAGUAGCGGCGAGCGAACGGGGAUUAGCCCUUAAGCAUCUUGGAAGUUAGUGGAACGGUCCUGGAAAGGCCGGCGAUACAGGGUGAUAGCCCCGUACACGAAAACAACCUUGAUGUGAAAUCGAGUAGGGCGGGACACGUGACAUCCUGUCUGAAUAUGGGGGGACCAUCCUCCAAGGCUAAAUACUCCUGACUGACCGAUAGUGAACCAGUACCGUGAGGGAAAGGCGAAAAGAACCCCUGUGAGGGGAGUGAAAUAGAACCUGAAACCGUGUACGUACAAGCAGUGGGAGCCCUUCGGGGUGACUGCGUACCUUUUGUAUAAUGGGUCAGCGACUUACAUUUUGUAGCGAGGUUAACCGUAUAGGGGAGCCGUAGGGAAACCGAGUCUUAACUGGGCGUCUAGUUGCAAGGUGUAGACCCGAAACCGGGUGAUCUAGCCAUGGGCAGGUUGAAGGUUGAGUAACAUCAACUGGAGGACCGAACCCACUAACGUUGCAAAGUUAGGGGAUGACCUGUGGCUGGGGGUGAAAGGCCAAUCAAACUCGGAGAUAGCUGGUUCUCCCCGAAAGCUAUUUAGGUAGCGCCUCGGACGAAUACUACUGGGGGUAGAGCACUGUUUGGGCUAGGGGGUCAUCCCGACUUACCAACCCCAUGCAAACUCCGAAUACCAGUAAGUAAUAUCCGGGAGACACACGGCGGGUGCUAACGUCCGUCGUGAAGAGGGAAACAACCCAGACCGCCGGCUAAGGUCCCAAAGUUCUGGUUAAGUGGGAAACGAUGUGGGAAGGCUCAGACAGCUAGGAUGUUGGCUUAGAAGCAGCCAUCAUUUAAAGAAAGCGUAAUAGCUCACUAGUCGAGUCGGCCUGCGCGGAAGAUGUAACGGGGCUCAAACCAGGCACCGAAGCCGCGGAUUCACGCUAAGCGUGAGUGGUAGGGGAGCGUUCUGUAAGUCUGCGAAGGUGUGUCGAGAGGCAUGCUGGAGAUAUCAGAAGUGCGAAUGCUGACGUAAGUAACGAUAAAGGGGGUGAAAAGCCUCCUCGCCGGAAGACCAAGGGUUCCUGUCCAACGUUAAUCGGGGCAGGGUGAGUCGACCCCUAAGGUGAGGCCGAAAGGCGUAAUCGAUGGGAAGCAGGUUAAUAUUCCUGCACGACUUGUAAUUGCGAUGGGGGGACGGAGAAGGCUAGGUGGGCCAGGCGACGGUUGUCCUGGUGAAAGUGCGUAGGUGGUGUUUCUAGGCAAAUCCGGAGACACAACACUGAGACACGAGACGAACCUACGGUGUGGAAGCCAUUGAUGCCCUGCUUCCAGGAAAAGCCUCUAAGCUUCAGAUUACAAGUCAUCGUACCCCAAACCGACACAGGUGGUCGGGUAGAGAAUACCAAGGCGCUUGAGAGAACUCGGGUGAAGGAACUAGGCAAAAUAGUACCGUAACUUCGGGAGAAGGUACGCUCUUGUUGGUGAAGUCCCUUGCGGAUGGAGCUGACGGGAGUCGCAGUGACCAGAUGGCUGGGACUGUUUAUCAAAAACACAGCACUCUGCAAACACGAAAGUGGACGUAUAGGGUGUGACACCUGCCCGGUGCCGGAAGGUUAAUUGAUGGGGUUAGCGCAAGCGAAGCUCUUGAUCGAAGCCCCGGUAAACGGCGGCCGUAACUAUAACGGUCCUAAGGUAGCGAAAUUCCUUGUCGGGUAAGUUCCGACCUGCACGAAUGGUGUAACCAUGGCCAUGCUGUCUCCACCCGAGACUCAGUGAAAUCGAAUUCGCCGUGAAGAUGCGGUGUACCCGCGGCUAGACGGAAAGACCCCGUGAACCUUUACUACAGCUUGGCACUGAACAUUGAACCUAAAUGUGUAGGAUAGGUGGGAGGCUUUGAAGGCGUGACGCCAGUUGCGCUGGAGCCGUCCUUGAAAUACCACCCUUGUAUGUUUGAUGUUCUAACGCAGGGCCCUGAAUCGGGCUCGCGGACAGUGCCUGGUGGGUAGUUUGACUGGGGCGGUCUCCUCCCAAAGAGUAACGGAGGAGCACGAAGGUUGGCUAAUCCUGGUCGGACAUCAGGAGGUUAGUGCAAUGGCAUAAGCCAGCUUAACUGCGAGACGGACAGGUCGAGCAGGUACGAAAGUAGGUCAUAGUGAUCCGGUGGUUCUGAAUGGAAGGGCCAUCGCUCAACGGAUAAAAGGUACUCCGGGGAUAACAGGCUGAUACCGCCCAAGAGUUCAUAUCGACGGCGGUGUUUGGCACCUCGAUGUCGGCUCAUCACAUCCUGGGGCUGAAGUCGGUCCCAAGGGUAUGGCUGUUCGCCAUUUAAAGUGGUACGCGAGCUGGGUUCAGAACGUCGUGAGACAGUUCGGUCCCUAUCUGCCGUGGGCGUUGGAUGAUUGAAGGGAGUUGCUCCUAGUACGAGAGGACCGGAGUGAACGAACCUCUGGUGUUCGGGUUGUCACGCCAGUGGCACUGCCCGGUAGCUAAGUUCGGAAUCGAUAACCGCUGAAAGCAUCUAAGCGGGAAGCGAGCCCUGAGAUGAGUCAUCCCUGACCCCUUGAGGGUCCUAAAGGGCCGUUGGAGACCACAACGUUGAUAGGUGGGGUGUGUAAGCGCGGCGACGUGUUGAGCUAACCCAUACUAAUUACCCGUGAGGCUUAACCAUACAACACCCAAGAAGUGUUC
rnacentral:rRNA from 1 species